rnacentral:lncRNA from 1 species
AUUUCUUAACAAACAGAACACAAACAGUAGUCCUUGAAGGUGAAACAUCAAAUAAAAUUCCUGUAACAUCUGGGGUACCCCAAGGCACAGUGCUUGGUCCAAUUUUAUUUUUAAUCUUCAUCAAUGAUUUGGCAGAAUAUAUUGAACACAGUACAUUAAGAUUGUUUGCAGAUGACAGCAUUAUUUAUAGGGAAAUUAAAAAACCAGAUGACACACUUAAAUUACAGUCUGACUUAGAAGCGGCCGGCAGGUGGGAGCAGGACUGGCUCAUGCAUUUCCACCCUGACAAGUGCAACAUUCUCAGUGUAACUCAGAAACGCAAACCUUUAGACUUUACCUAUAAAUUACACAAUCACUCUUUAGAAAAAGUUGACUCUACUAAAUAUUUAGGCCUAACUCUUCAAUCAAACUUAAAAUGGGACAAACAUAUAGAUAACAUGACAUCAAAAGCAAACCAGUCCCUUGGAUUUAUUCGUAGAAACCUAAAAAUAGCAUCACCGAAAGUUAAAGCUCAUGCAUAUAAAGCUCUUGUCCGACCAAAAUUAGAGUACUGCUCAACAAUUUGGGACCCACAUCAAAAACAACAAAAUUUACAAAUUGAAAAAGUUCAGAGAAGAGCAGCACGCUUCUCAUGCAACCGCUUCCAUAACACCAGCUCAGUUACUGAAAUGAUGACAGACCUAAAUUGGUACCCACUCGAAAUUAGGCGUUUACGAUACAGACUUGUUUUCUUUUACAAAAUUAUUCAUGAAAUUGUUGCAGUUCCUACACAUAAUCUUUUGAUCCCACUUGACAAUAGAACCAGACAUAGUAAUCCACACUCAUUUAGGCAAAUACAAACAUCUAAAGACAGUUAUAAAUAUUCAUUUUAUCCACGAACAGUUAUAAAUUGGAAUCAUCUGCCACAACAAAUAGUAUCAUGCAGUACGGUAGAGGGAUUCAAGAGUAUGAUCUCAGAAUCUGCUCUAAUCCCCAUAUUCUAUCCCUAACUAUUCUGUUAUCAAAUGUAUAUAGUUUUAUCACAACUUAUUUUUUUCAAAUGUACAUACGUUAUGUUGAUUUUUUGAUUUUGUUAUUUUUGAUUUUUUGUUGCUAAAUUAGUGUAAAUUAUAAAUUUUAUAGUCGACGCCCG